rnacentral:rRNA from 1 species
GACAGAGGGGGCAAGCGUUGUUCGGAAUUACUGGGCGUAAAGGGCUCGUAGGCGGCCAACUAAGUCGGAUGUGAAAUCCCCAGGCUACUACGGUGGAACUGCAUCCGAUACUGGAUGGCUUGAAUCGGGAGAGGGAUGCAGAAUUCCAGGUGUAGCGGUGAAAUGCGUAGAUAUCUGGAGGAACACCUAUGGCGAAGGCAGCUCGCUGGGACGUUACUGACGCUGAGACGCGAAAGCGUGGGGAGCAAACGGG